AUUUUUUUUCCAGCAGUUAUUCAUUUAAGACUGUGUGGCCUGUGCUCCUCUGCAUCAGUGUCAAGGAGAGCAGAGUCUACAAGGCUGUCCGUCAUCCCAAAAGGGGAAGUCUCUUACUUCAUUAUUAGCAAGAUGUGAUUUGUGUUUUACAAGGCACUAACAUUCAACCCUGUUUCUUUACAGUGAAGCUUCAGAUACUGAUACCUCUGCAAAGUUAACUGAAUUAGCUUAUCAAAUACAGAGCGCACAAGCAGUGCAAAAAGCAGCCCACUAUACUUCGGAAGGCAAACCACAGGGUCAGAGUCUCACGGACCUGCUGGGAAUAGGUGGGACUUCUGGAGAUCAUCUAGUCCAAACCCCUGGUACAACACAGGGGUACCGAGAGCAGGGUACACAGGAUUGCAUCCAGGUGCAUCUGGGGAGACGUGAACUAUAGAGAUUGUCCCAAUUUAUCCUGAAGUAAGAGAGAUGGAAAGAAAAAGCUAAAUAUUGUCAAAAUGUCCCCUAACCAUGGGCACCUGCCAAGUGUCUUGACCUCCCCUGCAUGCCUGCUUAGAAAGCAAUUCUGUAGCAUAUGCAGAUUGAGAAAAGAAGUGCUAAGAAUUAACAUGAACAUAAGAAAAUCUCCACCUGCUGCUGGCUUCCAAACUGUGAACUAUAUAAUCUCAUGGUACUAAUGAUACUUGUGUACUAUUACUGGUGUCUAUUACUGUUAUUGUUACUACUAUUAAUACUGUCAUUAUGUGGUUAGGUAACCAAAGAAAUGGCUAAAGAUACCGAUAAGCAAGGCUGGCUGAUUUUAUACCAUCACUAGAAAUUAAUUGUUGAGGGCACUGUUCGCAGAUGGCUGCAGUAGAAAACUGUUCAGGACCAUGCUGCCAAUUUAACACAAAGGAUCUUCAAGGCAAAUAAUCACUUAUCUUUGUAUGAGGCAGCAUCCAAGCCACAUUUUAACACUUCUACAGAACACACAAAGAGCCAUGCAAAAUACCACAGUCACUAGUGUAUGAAGGUUCUUUGCUGGCCACAUCUCCAUGUGUACAGGUGGUAUUUUUUAAUCAAGCACAUGCUGUGUGUUCCAGAUGUAGUCCUUAUUUCACAUACCAACUCCACAGAAGGAUUUCAGGGACACUGCCAGGCAGGUAGGCUCACUCCUUGUUGCUGUAGGCUGCUCUGUUCCUAGCUGUGGUUCACAUCCAACAUACAGGUGCACAACCUGGGUGUCUUUUCUCCAAAUGAUAAAAAUAUUCUACUGCAAACCAGGGUUGCCAACAUAAGCAUUUUUAAGAAAUAAAGGCUAAAGUUCAGGGUACUUGCAUAUAAGUUAGGAUUCAUGGCUAUAACUCUAUUCUAUCACUUGUGAUAAUCUACGUAUACCUAAUUGCAGAGAUUAAAAGCAAUAAACUCAGCAAAAUCCAUCUCAGAUUUAGAGUAACACCUCCCUUUGUGGUUUAAAUUGACUCACCAAGCUGUAAUGGAUCCGCAACCCUUGCUCUGCCGCACACAUCAAUGUUCAGUGUAACAGAAAGCAGGUGGCCAAAUUUGGGGAGCUCAGCAGUAGCUCAAGGUGACUUUGCAAGUAUUCCCUUCUGCUCAAAGCCAGUGAGACAUGAAGGACAGCUGCUCUCAAACACUCAGACGAGGCAAAAAGAAUGAGCCUGUGUGGAGACAGUGUUCUCACAGGAGAAUGGAUAUUUGGUACAUGAACUCUGAACAACUCUGACAGAUACAGCAAG